rnacentral:rRNA from 1 species
GACAGAGGUCCCGAGCGUUAGGCGGAAUCACUGGGCUUAAAGCGUGUGUAGGCGGAGUUCUAAGUACCUUGUGAAAUCCCACGGCUUAACCGUGGAACUGCUUGGUAUACUGGUUCUCUUGGGCCAUCUAGGGGCGAGCGGAACAAGUGGUGGAGCGGUGAAAUGCGCAGAUAUCAGGAAGAACACCCGUGGCGAAGGCGGUUCUCUGGGACGGUACUGACGCUGAGACGCGAAAGCGUGGGGAGCGAACAGG